rnacentral:rRNA from 1 species
UACGAAGGGUGCAAGCGUUAAUCGGAGUUACUGGGCGUAAAGCGUGCGUAGGCGGUGAGUUAAGUCUGUCGUGAAAUCCCCGGGCUCAACCUGGGAAUGGCGAUGGAUACUGGCUCGCUAGAGUGUGAUAGAGGAUGGUGGAAUUCCCGGUGUAGCGGUGAAAUGCGUAGAGAUCGGGAGGAACAUCAGUGGCGAAGGCGGCCAUCUGGAUCAACACUGACGCUGAGGCACGAAAGCGUGGGGAGCAAACAGG